UGGCAGAAAUAUUGAUUUAAAUGGUCUGA
rnacentral:piRNA from 1 species